UCUAUAUAAAUCAUUUAAAUUAAAUAAAAAAAAUAUAUAAUGUAAAAAUCAAGUACAAAUGUCUAUACAAAGCAAUUACAAGCUCCAGUUGCAGGUGAAGGAGGAGGAAAAUCUUGUGGAGAUUCGUAGGAGAAUGAUAAUGACUAGAAAAGUAUGUCAUGAUCUUCUUCAAAUUUUUUUGUUGUUUUUCAUACUUUACCUCCAUUUCAGCCCUUAGAGCACCAACUUGUUAUUCAAUCAACUCCUCAACAACUGGUUGACUAAAGCGGGAUUAUAGGAUGUCUACAGCCGAGACACUACAACCUGAUCUCAUAUCCUAGUUUGUAUUUAUAAAGAUAUUGUAAACUCAAUUUCUAUCGGGUCCACCGAUUACUCUGGUCUUCAACCACAAAUCUGGAUCGUAUUUUGGAUUAGUUGAAAGGUUCUCUUCAUGUUUUGCAGGUAUGACGAUGUUAUAUUAUCCCUCCACCACAAAAAAAAAAUAAAGUCAAAGAUAUGGAUGAAAAACAUUAGUUCGAGUAAUAUAUAAAAAGGUUUAAAAGUCCACUUCUAAUAAACACUUUAACUCAGUUAUCAACAAACCGUCCCACCUCUUUUUAUCUGUUUUGUACUCUUUGAUACCUAUAAAGCCGAGCAAAAGAAAGAAUCCUAAAAGAGACUAACUUCAAGGGAGUUAUAGUUGAGGAAUUCUUUACCAUAUAAGGAAUUCAUGGACUACUUUAGGGAUUGUGCCAGUUUGAUCAAAUGAGCUUAUUAAAGACGGCACAAUCCUCUUGAAUGGAGUUAUAGUUGAGGAAUUCUUUACCAUAUAAGGAAUUCAUGGACUACUUUAGGGAUUGUGCCAGUUUGAUCAAAUGAGCUUAUUAAAGACGGCACAAUCCUCUUGAAUCGGUAAGUUAAAGGUCUACAUGGCACUUGGACCCAAAAAGGGGGAGAAGAAUCUUGUGUGGGCAUAAAGUGCUUGGACAAGAUUGGUGACCCAUCAAGCCUUGGGUUGGUGAUCUUAAUAGGUCUUAUCUCAUAUUUAGUGCCAAGACCCAGUGAUGGAUGGUACAAAUCGCAGCCCAAUUUUGAGGCCAUCACUAAUGUGAUUGGUUUGGGCUCUAAAAUGAAGAUGCUAAACAUGUGCCUGUCAAAUCGCAAAAGGCAAUAUUCUGAGGCUACAUUACUAAUUUGUUGGAUAAGAAGAGAAAUGUAUCUAUGCAAGCAAAAUAAGGACAACCUUUUCCCAAAUCAACUUGGAAGUGCUUUUUGUUUCACUUGUUAGUGGAUUGAGUGAAGUGCAACACAAGCAAGUGCCUUUCCUUAGUAAAUUAUUUUCUUACAAAAGUUAUGGCUAUCUCAAGAGAUACGAUAGGAAUACGAGAAUUUUCUAGUGCAAUUGAUAGAGUACGCAAAGGUGUAGAUAUAUAUUAUCUUGUGAUGAGGUGACAAAUGUGCUCAAUAUUCAUCAAUAUUGACUAAUCUCCAAUGCUAGAUAAACAUAAUUACUUGUUGUUUGAAUAAAGUUACAGACAUUACUAGGAUAAUUUCA
rnacentral:lncRNA from 1 species